rnacentral:rRNA from 1 species
AGCAUGUGGUUUAAUUCGAUGAUACGCGAGGAACCUUACCUAGGCUAGAAUGUGAGCGAAUAUACCAGAGAUGGUAUAGUCUUCGGACGCGAAACAAGGUGCUGCAUGGUUGUCGUCAGCUCGUGCCGUGAGGUGUCAGGUUAAGUCCUAUAACGAGCGCAACCCCUGUCGUUAGUUACCAGCAAUUAAAGUUGGGUACUCUAGCGAGACUGCCGGUGCAAACCGUGAGGAAGGUGGGGAUGACGUCAAAUCAUCACGGCCCUUACGUCCUGGGCUACACACGUGCUACAAUGGCCGGUACAGAGAGCAGCCACUACGCGAGUAGGAGCGAAUCUUCAAAGCCGGUCUCAGUUCGGAUCGCAGUCUGCAACUCGACUGCGUGAAGCUGGAAUCGCUAGUAAUCGGAUAUCAGCCAUGAUCCGGUGAAUACGUUCCCGGGCCUUGUACACACCGCCCGUCAAGCCAUGGAAGCUGGGGGUACCUGAAGUCGGUGACCGUAAGGAGCUGCCUAGGGUAAAACUAGUAACUGGGGCUAAGUCGUAACAAGGUA